rnacentral:misc_RNA from 1 species
GCAAACUUGGUCAUUUAGAGGAAGUACAAGUCGUAACAAGGUUUCCGUAGGUGAACCUGCGGAAGGAUCAUUAACGAAUCAUGUGUGAUGUAUGAUUGUGUGUGUAUGUAUGCAUGUGGAUGCAUGUAUGUAGAUAAUAUACACAUUUGUGCAUGUAUAUGUAUGUGUGUAGAUAAUAUACACAUUUGUGCAUGUAUAUGUGUGUGUAGAUAAUAUACACAUUUGUGCAUCCACAUGCAUACAAUCACAUUAUACACCAUACAUUGGCCCUCCCUGAUUGGGAAGUGCAUAUUCAUGCUAUUAUUGUGUUGUUGUUGUUGUGGCAUGUGUAUAUGAUGUAUGCAUCAUACACAUGCAUGUGCAUAAACAGAUAACUUUUAACAAUGGAUCUCUAGGCUCUUGCAUCGAUGAAGAACGCAGC